AUGCCGCCGAAGAAGUAUAUGGCCCCUCGCGCCGGUGCCGGUGCCGGCGCCAUCCAGUCGAAGCAGAGGAAGCCGAGGGCGCCGCCGGCAAAACCAUCGGACAUGUCGAACGCCGACUGGAAGGCAGAGGUUCAGCGCUGGGAGGCUGUCACCACCGACCGGCGGAACGGGUUCAAUGCCAAGAGGGCCCGGGACGUGGCCGCUGAGCAGGCAGAGGCGGCUCGCGCGGCGGAGCAGGCAGAGGCGUCUUGCGCGGGGAUGAUGAAUCCACCCGGCGGCCACGGCCCGCAAGCCUGGAGUAAGUAG
rnacentral:rRNA from 1 species